ensembl:lncRNA
AAAAUCCAAUCAAUCAAUCAGUUUAAACAAUCAGUUCAAGUUAAAAACUCUAAAAAUAUAGUUGACUACUGACUUCUGACUAUGACUUCCAUUACUCUGGAUGAAAAUUUGCUGUAAGUAUUUCACAAAGUUGGUAUUUUUCCAUACACUACACCCAUAAUUUCUCGUUUUCAAAAUAUGAGAUGACAAAUUAUCCCUCAAUAUGCCAGAGGAAAUUAUAUUUUAUGCUGAAUUUAACAUGCAAUUUGAUACAUGUCCCACCUUUCUCAAUACCUGACUGUACGUAGUCCACUAAAUUAUUAGCAUUAUGCAAUGUUUUUUUUUUAGAUUAUGAAACAACACCACAACACAUUCUGCCAAAAAAUUGUAAUAGUACCCUACUUUAAGGUUGUGCUGAAGUGCUACCUAACUAUUAUGAUCUGUACAUUUUCCUUCCUUUUACUUCUUCCCACCCUGGGGCACCAUCAAGUUAACUUUCAGCCCAUCUUACUUGCUUAUUUGUAUACACUGUACACUUGUGCAUGCUUUAGUCUAUGUUAUUCCUUUUUUGAUGAUUAAUAAAUACCUCUUUUCUUUCUUUCUACAUUAAAGAUGCCUUUUCAUCUAAUUGAAUUUCAAGCGAGCGAGGACAUCGCUGUUGUGCCAAUUGACUGGUAUGAUGACGGGAUGGUGUACUGGCCCAGCUUUAAGAGCACUGAGCGUGUGAAAAGGGCAGCUGCUAACGAGGAGAAGCAUGAGCCAAACUGGCCAAGAUAUGAUGUAAAGGUUGUCAGAACUUGUGACAACUACAAAGACGCCAUUAGGCUUAUGACUCAAUAUCAGAACGGCUGCAACACCUCUGAGCUACAGUCUGAGGCAGAGCAGGAGGGUAAGCUGCCAGAGAAAAGAUUCAGGAAGCCAGUCCAUCGUUUUGGGGACUCUGAUGAGAGUGAAGAAGAGCCAGAAAAUGGUGACUUUGCAUCUCUGAGGAUGCCACGACCUUCCAACUUGCCUGGUGUAUCAGUUGAAGCCUCAUGCCCAAGCCAAUUGCACUGGAAGAGUAAGGAAUAAUCUCUUAACAUCGAAAUAACAAAUCUUAAUAUUAAUAUUAGAGAUAUGGUUAACAUUCUUAGUGCUAAAGAUAUUCCCCUCUCCUUGUCUCCAUUCCUUCAGCUCCAUCAUCUUGCCGAGUGCCAGGCAGCAGAGUAACUACUCCUCAACCUGGAGAAAACUGUCUAGGUAAACACUGUUCUCCUAAAUAAUAUUGAAUACAGUGGCCCCAUCUAUAUUAACACAGCAAUGGUCACUCUGUUUCAAAUCAAUGGACUGCAUCUGCAUUACCAUCUCAGAUUUUCAAUGUCAAUCCAUUCAUGGGGUUGAAGUAGGU